CUGGGACUUUUAUGUUUAGUCUCAUUUAACUCAAAAUCAUGUUAAUUGUUGUUCUCAUCAUUUUCCUCUUCAUCAUUCCAUUUUGUAGACACAGAAAUCAAAUGUAAAGAAUUUAAUUAAUUUGCUCUAGGUUAUAUAAAUAAUAAGUGAAAUAUCUAGGAUUAAAGGUUAAUUCUGCCUGACUUCAAAGCCUGGGUUCUUAACAAAUAAAAUAAAUUGGUCUUUAAUUUAGAGUAGCUAUAGAGUAGAGUAGGUAGAUAUAGCUCUGCUUUUUAUAUGGGGAAAAUUAUUGAAUUAUUUUUUCAAACAGUACAUAGGGAAUGAUUAUAAUGUGGACACCUUCCAGAAGUGCUUUAGAGUCUGGUGGAUUUGGCAUGUCUUCCAGUCAUUGUUGCAUUUCAGUUGACUCUAUUUCAGUUUUUAGAUACACGAUGAUGUGCUCAGUGUAAGUAUCAGAUUCCCAAAUGACUAUCUUCAAUGAUCUCUAUUAGGAAUGACCUCUAAAGUUUGAGAAUUAGGACAAUGGUGACAUUUCAAAAAACAUUUUUUUUUGCCUCAUCCUGUAACUCUCUCAAUGUAAAAACCAUUUUCUUCAUGUUGACAACUAUAUUUGUUGUCUUAAAUCCCAGUUUGUUUCAGGCUAUCCUAUCUAGUUACAAUGGCAUUCUUGUCUUUCUAACUGCUAUUGUUUACCAACAGUGUGCCCUGUUUGUGCUGCAGACUUCCAUUCCUAUUUUUCUUUUAACUCAAACCUUUGCUGUUAUCCUAGGAAAUUUCAAAAGAACAACAUAUCCAGCUCCUGGUUCAUUUACCUUCUCAGCCAUGAACUCUCAAAAUCAAAGCCAGCAAGUUGUCACCACCUGAAAUUAUCCCUCUCACAAAAUCCAUAAAUCAGACGCCCACUGUCAAGAGACAAUUCUCCGUGGGUGUCUCACAUUUCUGCUCAUCUUGAAGACCACUGAGAACCUCUGGGAGAAAAUAUGCAGCAGAUUGAGUGGGAAAUGAGUCAAUGAGAAAUGAGCUGCUUCUGAUGUAACACUCUUGGGAGAGAUGGAGCUAUUGGAAAACACGACCUGCUCCAAAGUGCAUGAGCUAACAGGGACAAAGGAGAAAGGGAGGAUGAGAACUUUACAAGAGAGCUAUAAUGGGGUGAGACUGCUGUAGUUGGCGCUUUCUUCUUAUUUGAACAAUGCCUUUAGAUCUAACCCGACCCUUGUGACUUUCUCUAAAUAGAAGCUUAGCAAAAAGCCAGCAUGGUGAAACCAACAUUCAAGAUACAUUACUAACAGCAUCUACCUUCAGGCACAACAACCAGGGAAUGAAUGUCUGGGACAUGAAGACAUCCUGUAGUGGGAGCAGGGUGAGAAAACAAAAGGCAUAGGAAGAGGUUCCCUAUCUUUUUCAACCAAAAAAUAUCCUAGUUUCCUCCUUUUAAAAAAUAUGUACUUCAUGUUAAGAGUGUUGUCUAUUCUAUCUAGACACAUCAGUGGAUUGGGGAAGGUUAAAGAAAGCUAUUUUUAAUCCCACUAGGAGCAAUUCUGCCAACCCCCUCCUAUCUAAGGUUAAUUUUGCCGUGUGCUUUGGACCACAACCUGUUGUGCUAUCAAAGCAAUCUUGCAUGUGGCACUGUCCUUCCUGAUUCUCCAUACUCCCAUGUGAAAAUUUAGUAUCACGAUUUGAAUAUUCUCAAGGCUCUUGCACUCUAUUGGACCCAGUAGGCUUCUUUCAGUCUUUGUCCUACUUUGUCUCAUUGCACAUUUACAUAAAGUUGACCAAUUUUCUUUCUUAAAUAAUUUUCCCUUGGCUCUUAUAAAAAAUUACAUUUUCACAGUCUUUCUUCUACCUUUCCGUUCUCCUUGCUUUUUCUUUUUCUCUGAUUCCUCCUACUCCAAUAACAAUGAAAUAUUGGAGUUCAUCAAGACUUUCCUCUAGAUUCUCUUCUUUACCUUACUACUGUCUGUAAUUAGGUAAUCUCAUACACUUCAAGGACUCCAAAAUGUGACUUUAUGCCAAUAAUUCCAAAAAUCUCAAUUUCUAGCAUGACAGUCUCUUUCAAUUUUCAGGACCUAAUAUUCUACAGCCAACUCAUUUUAUGUGUAAGCAUCGCAAACAAAAAUAUGCAAAUAAAUCUCAGGACUCUCCACUCUGCAAGACACUCUAAC